UACGUAGGGAGCAAGCGUUGUUCGGAUUUACCGGGCGUAAAGGGCGCGUAGGCGGCAAUUCAAGUCAUCUGUGAAAUCUCCGGGCUUAACUCGGAACGGUCAGAUGAUACUGCUUUGCUAGAGUGCAGAAGGGGCAAUCGGAAUUCUCGGUGUAGCGGUGAAAUGCGUAGAUAUCGAGAGGAACACCAGAGGUGAAGACGGGUUGCUGGGCUGACACUGACGCUGAGGCGCGAAAGCCAGGGGAGCAAACGGG
rnacentral:rRNA from 1 species